AUGAACGCUGGCGGCGUGCCUAAUACAUGCAAGUCGAGCGAACAGACGAGGAGCUUGCUCCUCUGACGUUAGCGGCGGACGGGUGAGUAACACGUGGAUAACCUACCUAUAAUACUGGGAUAACUUCGGGAAACCGGAGCUAAUACCGGAUAAUAUAUUGAACCGCAUGGUUCAAUAGUGAAAGACGGUUUUGCUGUCACUUAUAGAUGGAUCCGCGCCGCAUUAGCUAGUUGGUAAGGUAACGGCUUACCAAGGCAACGAUGCGUAGCCGACCUGAGAGGGUGAUCGGCCACACUGGAACUGAGACACGGUCCAGACUCCUACGGGAGGCAGCAGUAGGGAAUCUUCCGCAAUGGGCGAAAGCUUGACGGAGCAACGCCGCGUGAGUGAUGAAGGUCUUCGGAUCGUAAAACUCUGUUAUUAGGGAAGAACAAAUGUGUAAGUAACUAUGCACGUCUUGACGGUACCUAAUCAGAAAGCCACGGCUAACUACGUG
rnacentral:rRNA from 1 species